CUGCUGUUAACAUUUUGAUGACGCUUUCCUUGUCUUCUUCUCUGCCAACAAUGUUUAGUUCAUCUGCAUGUGGGUUGGUCGGCAGAGGCAACAAUUCAUUGUCAUCUUCUAGCAUGGGCGCAUCACUCUCAUCCAUCUGGAGGAACAGGAACAGGAAUAGGGUCUGCUUCUGGUUCCUAGGUGAUUGAAUUAAAUAGACCAGUGCCCCCCCCCCCCCCUACUAAUCACAAGUGUUGAGCAGAUAACCAAAGAGAAACACAUGCAC